rnacentral:rRNA from 1 species
GAUGAACGCUAGCGGCAGGCUUAAUACAUGCAAGUCGUGGGGCAGCAUGAAGUAGCAAUACUUUGAUGGCGACCGGCAAACGGGUGCGGAACACGUACACAACUUACCUUAGAGUGGGGGAUAGCCCAGGGAAACUUGGAUUAAUACCCCAUAAAACAGGGGGCCCGCAUGGGAAUAUUGUUAAAGAUUUAUUGCUUUAAGAUGGGUGUGCGUAUGAUUAGGUAGUUGGUAGGGUAAAGGCCUACCAAGCCGACGAUCAUUAACUGGUGUGAGAGCACGACCAGUCACACGGGCACUGAGACACGGGCCCGACUCCUACGGGAGGCAGCAGUAAGGAAUAUUGGUCAAUGGACGGAAGUCUGAACCAGCCAUGCCGCGUGAAGGAUGAAGGUCCUCUGGAUUGUAAACUUCUUUUAUAGGGGGCGAAAAAGGGCCAUUCUUGGUCAACUGACGGUACCCUAUGAAUAAGCACCGGCUAACUCCGUGCCAGCAGCCGCUGUAAAAC